GUAGUCUCGCACAGAUGCAUAUCAAUAAGCGGAGGAAAAGAAACUAACAAGGAUUCCCUCAGUAACGGCGAGUGAAGCGGGAAGAGCUCAAAUUUGAAAUCUUGAAAGGUCACCUUUCACGAAUUGUAGUUUAAAGAAGUGUUUUCUGUUACGAUCGUAAUAUAAGUUCUUUGGAAUAGGAUCAUCACAGAGGGUGAGAAUCCCGUCUAUGAUUGCGAUUUGUAGCUUUGUGAUACACUUUCAAAGAGUCGGGUUGUUUGGGAAUGCAGCCCAAAACGGGAGGUAAAUUUCUUCUAAGGCUAAAUAUUGGCGAGAGACCGAUAGCGAACAAGUACCGUGAGGGAAAGAUGAAAAGAACUUUGAAAAGAGAGUUAAAUAGUACGUGAAAUUGUCAAAAGGGAAGCGUUUAACACCAGUGUUGUUUUCUGAAAAUCAACCUCUGUUAGCUUUAUGCAUGUUUGUUUAGACCUAAUCAGCUAUCUUGCAUGUUCUAUUGUUUGCAGUGGUGCACUUUUCAGUUUACAGGUCAACAUCAGUUUUUUUUACCGUAAAAAAGUUAAAGAAAGGUAGCUCAUGGCUCCGGUCGUGAGUGUUAUAGUCUUUUUCCUAUGCGGUAGGAGAGACUGAGGUCUGCAGUGUAGGCUAUUUGGCUAGAUACUCAGGUGCUAUGUGAUACCAUUUCAUAAACAACUUGUUGAUUAUGUUUUGUCUAUUGCAUACUCGCUUGUACUAUCAUACCUACGCUUAGGAUGUUGAGUCGUAGAGCACGCAG
rnacentral:rRNA from 1 species